rnacentral:rRNA from 1 species
AGUCGAGGGGCAUCGGGAGGGAAGCUUGCUUUCCUUGCCGGCGACCGGCGCACGGGUGAGUAACACGUAUGCAACCUGCCCUCUUCAGGGGGACAACCUUCCGAAAGGGAGGCUAAUCCCGCGUAUAUCGGUUUCGGGCAUCCGAGAUCGAGGAAAGAUUCAUCGGAAGAGGAUGGGCAUGCGGCGCAUUAGCUAGACGGCGGGGUAACGGCCCACCGUGGCGACGAUGCGUAGGGGUUCUGAGAGGAAGGUCCCCCACACUGGUACUGAGACACGGACCAGACUCCUACGGGAGGCAGCAGUGAGGAAUAUUGGUCAAUGGGAGAGAUCCUGAACCAGCCAAGCCGCGUGAGGGAAGACGGCCCUAUGGGUUGUAAACCUCUUUUGUCGGAGAACAAAACCCGGGACGUGUCCCGGACUGCGUGUAUCCGAAGAAAAAGCAUCGGCUAACUCCGUGCCAGCAGCCGCGGUAAUACGGAGGAUGCGAGCGUUAUCCGGAUUUAUUGGGUUUAAAGGGUGCGCAGGCGGACUGUUAAGUCAGCGGUAAAAUGUCGGUGCUCAACACCGGCCGGCCGUUGAAACUGGCAGCCUUGAGUGAGCGAGAAGUAUGCGGAAUGCGUGGUGUAGCGGUGAAAUGCAUAGAUAUCACGCAGAACUCCGAUUGCGAAGGCAGCAUACCGGCGCUCAACUGACGCUCAGGCACGAAAGCGUGGGUAUCGAACAGGCUUAGAUACCCUGGUAGUCCACGCAGUAAACGAUGAAUGCUCACUGUCCGGGCCGUUUAAGGCCUGGGUGGUCAAGCGAAAGCGUUAAGCAUUC